rnacentral:rRNA from 1 species
GACGAACGCUGGCGGCGUGCUUAACACAUGCAAGUCGAACGAAGCGGCGAACGGGUGAGUACCUCGUAAUCACACUGCCCUUCAGAGGGGGACAACAGUUUGAAACGACUGCUAAUACCGCAUACUGAUGGAGGGGAUUGGGUCUGAUUAGCUAUUUGGAGGGGUAACGGCCCACCAAGGCGAUUGUCAGUAGCCGGUCGGAGAGGAUGAACGGCCCCAUUGGGACUGAGACACGGCCCAGACGCCUACGGGAGGCAGCAGGGGGGAAUCUUCCGCAAUUGACGAAAGGCUGACGGAGCAACGCCGCGUGAGUGAUGACGGCCUUCGGGUUGGAAAGCUCUGUUAGUCGGGACGCGGUACCGGAAUAGAAAGCCACGGCUAACUACGUGCCAGCAGCCGCGGUAAUAC